UAUGCAAGUAUAUGGGCUGGCUGCUCAACAACAACAUCCUCUCCAACCUGAUUAACCACCACAACCUUUCUAGGAGGAAUCAACUCGAUGUUCCAAAAGGGGCGAACCAUUGCUGAAAGAUCGCGACCUGGAUUGGAUGAUGAUGCUCUGUAACCUUGCACCCACAAAUACCUCAAUGAAGUCAGUUGCAUCACAGCUUUGGCCAGUGCACCCUCAGUGAAGCAACAGCCCCUCAUUUCUA
rnacentral:misc_RNA from 1 species